rnacentral:rRNA from 1 species
GACGAACGCUGGCGGCGUGCCUAAUACAUGCAAGUCGAGCGCAGGAAACUGACGGAACUCUUCAGAGGGAAGGCAGUGGAAUGAGCGGCGGACGGGUGAGUAACAUGUAAGGAACCUGCCUCAAGGAUUGGGAUAACUCCGAGAAAUCGGAGCUAAUACCGGAUAGUUCAACGGACCGCAUGGUCCGCUGAUGAAAGGCGCUUCGGCGUCACCUUGAGAUGGCCUUGCGGUGCAUUAGCUAGUUGGUGGGGUGACGGCCCACCAAGGCGACGAUGCAUAGCCGACCUGAGAGGGUGAUCGGCCACACUGGGACUGAGACACGGCCCGUACUCCUACGGGAGGCAGCAGUAGGGAAUCUUCCACAAUGGACGAAAGUCUGAUGGAGCAACGCCGCGUGAGUGAUGAAGGUUUUCGGAUCGUAAAACUCUGUUGUAAGGGAAGAACACGUACGAGAGGAAAUGCUCGUACCUUGACGGUACCUUACGAGAAAGCCACGGCUAACUACGUGCCAGCAGCCGCGGUAACAC